UUUUUUUAAUUGCUUGUUUUUGUUUAAAUCUGUUUUUUGUUUUCGAAGAUAGCAUGCGUGUUGCCUGGGUCACUAACCAUCUUGUUGCCUUUACCUAUGUUCUCAGCAACUUCUAUAUCUGUACAAUGCUGCUACAGAUGCUAGUAACAAAAACAUGCCGCACCUAGCAGGCAGUUCGAGAAUGAAAGUACUAAUGUGUUUUUAUUCAUAAUUUGAUAAACUUGCAGUUUAAUUUCAUGUUUUGUUUGCUGAUUUACCUUCAGCAAAUACCUGCACAUUUUUAUAUUUUCAAUUUAUACAUGAAGUGUAACUUACAGACCUGUCCUCAUUAUUAAAGGUUUUCUCUGCAAGUCUUGUUAGUUUUGAAGUGUUUUACACUAUAUUUCCAAGUACUCUCCCUCUUUACUUAAUUUAUUAUAAGAGUAACCAAGAGGCACUUUUAAUACACAGAGGAUGUGCUGCAGAAUGCAGAUGCUGAUCUUACGUUAACAGCAGUCACAAGUUUAUUCAUAAACCACACAAUUCCAAGCCUCUGCAGUGAAAAAAAAUACGUUUUGCUGCUUUUUAACCAAAUCUGGCACACGUGGAAACAACAAAUAAAAUAUUCAUAAUUUUUUAGUGUUUUCAAAAUUCCAAUGCAAGCCUACUGUAAAUGUUUUUCUAGUGAACAUUGUAAGUGCAAUCAAGAGACUGUUGUCAGGAUAGGAACAUAGGAACAUGCUGAACAGUGUCUCUACCUGUUUAUCUUCACAAUAUUAUUUUCUUCGCAUUAUUCUUUUUUCUGUCUGCAGUGGUUUUUCUCUACUUUCUGAACUCUUGUUCUGUUAGGAGCUGUCUGACGGGUAGUUUUACUGCUUGGUUGUUUUCUGUUUCGUUGUUGCUUAGCGUACUAUUAACAGAGACAAGCUUUUCACUUUUGCUACUAACCCUCACAGAUUUCCAAUAGUGGUGGUGAAACUGGUCAUUUGAGAAAGUUCUGAGCAGCAGCAUAACUGGUAUGCAGGAGGCAUAGGACCAGGAAGACUACCCAGAGAACUGGUUUGCGCAGUAAAAUUAGAACUUCAUAAAAUGCAACAGCAGCUUCUGCUGAAGGUGAUAGCUGCUGACACAAUAUUCCAUUUUCCUUUGGGGAUAUGGAUUAAUGUAGAUGUUCUUAAUAUUUCUCUCCCUUGUUGAGAAAGAUUCCAUUUACUACUUGUUAGAUGUCAGGUGCAAUGGUAAUGAACUAAAAAAAACUUGUUGGAUAGAGGCAAGCUGUGCAGGAGCAUGUACUGGGCUUGGCUGCUACUCUGACUAAAUUUCUAUGGAAAGGCAGAGGUACUUUUUGUUUUCAUCAUGGGUGUUUUUUGUUUGUUUGUUUUUAUUCAUUUGUUGUCUUUUGGUUGGUUGGAUUUGUUUGGUCAGAUUUUCCAAAUGCAUCACUGAGGCUGCCAAGAUGGAUUCACUUUGAAAGUGAUAGUUAUUUAGAAUCUUGUUGACUUACCAAGAAACGCUGAUGCUUCAAUUUCUUCAUGUCUUGCUGCUUUCUUA